AAUAUAUUAAAAGACGAACUUUGUAUCAAUAUUUAUGUGCUAAUAACAAAAUUCCAAAUUCACCGGAUGAUCUA